ensembl:rRNA 5S_rRNA 5S ribosomal RNA
UGUCACAGCCAUGUCACCCUGCAGCCCAAGACCCGUUACUCACUGAAGCUAAGCAGGGCUGAGCCUGGUCAGUACCUGUAUGGGAGACCACUAGGGAACACUAUUGCUGUUGGAA